GGGCUCAAUAGAAUUUUUGCUUGAGAAAAUUAAGGGUUCCAAGACUCCAUUGUGAAAUUGAUAUAAGUUGGAGAACUUCAAGGAGGUGAGUUUUUAAAAACAUACACAAUUUCAACUAUGAGUUGAUUAUCAGUAAUCUUCCAGAACCAUAACUAAUAUAAGAGAAUAAUCUCGUGUCUCACUUCACAUACUCGCAUGUUUUAUUAAUAAUUUGAAAAAUACAAAGUCCUUUAAUUCCAAAUCACAUAAGCAUCCUAGCAAUUACUAAUUCAAUUCAAACUCCAAUAGAAAA
rnacentral:misc_RNA from 1 species